rnacentral:rRNA from 1 species
GUGAGGAAUAUUGGACAAUGGGCGCAAGCCUGAUCCAGCCAUGCCGCGUGAGUGAUGAAGGCCUUAGGGUUGUAAAGCUCUUUCACCGAUGAAGAUAAUGACGGUAGUCGGAGAAGAAGCCCCGGCUAACUUCGUGCCAGCAGCCGCGGUAAUACGAAGGGGGCUAGCGUUGUUCGGAUUUACUGGGCGUAAAGCGCACGUAGGCGGUUUGUUAAGUCAGAGGUGAAAUCCCGGAGCUCAACUCCGGAACUGCCUUUGAUACUGGCAAGCUAGAGUCCGGAAGAGGUAAGUGGAACUCCUAGUGUAGAGGUGGAAUUCGUAGAUAUUAGGAAGAACACCAGUGGCGAAGGCGGCUUACUGGUCCGGAACUGACGCUGAGGUGCGAAAGCGUGGGGAGCAAACAGGAUUAGAAACCCCUGUAGUCC